CCUACGGGACGCAGCAGUGAGGAAUAUUGGUCAAUGGGCGGGAGCCUGAACCAGCCAAGUCGCGUGAAGGAAGAAGGUACUUAGUAUUGUAAACUUCUUUUGUCGGGGAACAAAGGCGGAGACGCGUCUCCGGAUGAGUGUACCCGAAGAAAAAGCAUCGGCUAACUCCGUGCCAGCAGCCGCGGUAAUACGGAGGAUGCGAGCGUUAUCCGGAUUUAUUGGGUUUAAAGGGUGCGCAGGCGGACCAUCAAGUCAGCGGUAAAAUCGUGGGGCCCAACCCCAUCCCGCCGUUGAAACUGGCGGUC
rnacentral:rRNA from 1 species